rnacentral:lncRNA from 1 species
UGAAAUACUGAGUGAGACGGUCUACCAGCAACAUGAGGGAUAGAGGGGAUGAAAAUUCUCUACCAUACAACAUUAGUUGGAUGGUGGAAAAUUAUAAUGUCUUCUAGACUGCAUGAUUACCGAUAGCUAUUCCUCAUCCGAUCCCGCCAUCCUUUGUGAUGACGCCGACAACGGUGCCUUCCACAGCACCGACGAGCUCAUCGUCCUCGAUGGAGAUGAUGACCAGCAGCACCGCUGCUUUGCGAAAGAGGAGGAUGAGGAUGACCGGCCUCCUCGAAGUCUUCUCUUUAUUUUAUCUGGUUUACAGCUGAGCUGGCAGAUUCGAUCCACCUAACAAUUUCGCGUACUAAAACUCCGUGGCUUUGGUUUGGCCUUCAUCGUCUCCACAACUGGAGAACCUCGCUGCUCAUGGGCGUUGGCUAGACAUUGGACACCAGCAUCUAGCACUAAACAAGGCUGGACGCCAUGGAGAAGUAGGUCACCUUCAUACCUAAUCCAUCCAGAUGAGACCUCUUUUCUUUACCUUCUGCCUGCACCACCACGCCAUGGAGAAACUGAUUUUGUUUUUCGUGAUUUAUAGAGAGAGUCCUCAAUUGGUUCAUAUGUCUGGCACAUCUAAAAGCAUCUAAAAUUACAGUGAUCCAUACAUCAUGAGCAGUGCACUAAUGUACAGGAAGAGCAUCAGCUUGUUUGGAAGAUGCAUGGUAAAGACACUUCCUCCUCUGUAUCUCAUCAAUUUUCGAAUACAACGGGGAGUUAAAUGCCUCUCUUUGGAACCUCCCUGUGUCUCUCAAGAUCAAAUGUUUCAUGUGGCUAUGCUGGAAGAAGAAACUGAAAACCAGAGAUCGACUUGCUUGCUAGGAAAACUUGGAAAGAAUGUGGGUGGAUCGAUGUGUUUUGUGCCGCCAGGCACUCGAGACGGUUGAUGAUCGCCUCUUCUCGAACUGUGAUUUCUUCUCCACUAUCUGAAAGGCUGCUUUCUCCUCCGUAGGGGUUCUGCAUGCAUCUAUUAUUAUCCUUCUUCGAAUUUCUCUGGAUCUUGACUGGAGAAGAAGGAGUUUUCCAAAAUCAGCUU